rnacentral:rRNA from 1 species
AUUGAACGCUGGCGGCAUGCCUUACACAUGCAAGUCGAACGGUAACAGGUUAAGCUGACGAGUGGCGAACGGGUGAGUAAUAUAUCGGAACGUGCCCAGUCGUGGGGGAUAACGUAGCGAAAGCUACGCUAAUACCGCAUACGAUCUACGGAUGAAAGCGGGGGAUCGCAAGACCUCGCGCGAUUGCAGCGGCGGAUAUCAGAUUAGGUUGUUGGUGAGGUAAAAGCUCACCAAGCCUGCGAUCUGUAGCUGGUCUGAGAGGACGACCAGCCACACUGGAACUGAGACACGGUCCAGACUCCUACGGGAGGCAGCAGUGGGGAAUGUUGGACAAUGGACGCAAGUCUGAUCCAGCAAUGCCGCGUGCAGGACGAAGGCCUUCGGGUUGUAAACUGCUUUUGUACGGAACGAAACGGUGAGCUCUAAUACAGUUUGCUAAUGACGGUACCGUAAGAAUAAGCACCGGCUAACUACGUGCCAGCCGCCGCCGUAA